GACUCCUACGGGAGGCAGCAGUGGGGAAUUUUCCGCAAUGGGCGAAAGCCUGACGGAGCAACGCCGCGUGAGGGAUGAAGGCCUCUGGGCUGUAAACCUCUUUUAUCAAGGAAGAAGAUCUGACGGUACUUGAUGAAUAAGCCACGGCUAAUUCCGUGCCAGCAGCCGCGGUAAUA
rnacentral:rRNA from 1 species